UACGAGAGGCCCAAACGUUAUUCGGAAUUACUGGGCUUAAAGAGUUCGUAGGCGGUAUGAAAAGUAGGGUGUGAAAUCCCCCGGCUUAACCUGGGAACUGCGUCUGAUACUGGAAGGCUUGAGGAUGGGAGAGGGAUGUAGAAUUCCAGGUGUAGCGGUGAAAUGCGUAGAUAUCUGGAGGAAUACCGGUGGCGAAGGCGGCAUCCUGGACCAUUACUGACGCUGAUGCGCGAAAGCGUGGGGAGCAAACAGGG
rnacentral:rRNA from 1 species